UACAGAGGUCUCAACCGUUGUUCGGAUUCAUUGGGCGUAAAGGGUGCGUAGGCGGUCGUGCAAGUCGGAUGUGAAAUCUCAGGGCUCAACCCUGAAACUGCAUUCGAUACGGGAAGGCUAGAGUUCGGUAGGGGAGACUGGAAUUCCUGGUGUAGCGGUGAAAUGCGCAGAUAUCAGGAGGAACACCGGUGGCGAAGGCGGGUCUCUGGGCAGUAACUGACGCUGAGGAGCGAAAGCGUGGGGAGCGAACAGG
rnacentral:rRNA from 1 species